rnacentral:rRNA from 1 species
UGAGGAAUCUUCCACAAUGGGCGAAAGCCUGAUGGAGCGACACCGCGUGAAGGAUGAAGCCUUUGUUGGUGUAAACUUCUUUUCUCUGGGAAGAUAAUGACGGUACCAGAGGAAUAAUGGGCGGCAAACUUCGUGCCAGCAGCCGCGGGAAUACGAAGGCCCCAAGCGUUAUCCGGAAUUACUGGGCGUAAAGCGUCUGUAGGUGGUUUGAACAGUCUUAAGUGAACGGUCAGGGCUCAACUCUGGACU